rnacentral:lncRNA from 1 species
UAUGAUGAAACAGGAACUCAAAUACUUAGGAGGAAAGAAUGCAAGUCACACUGGAUGAGGCGUUCAAGUCAUGGUGCUGGGCAGUAAGAAGGGAUCAGUGCGACAGAGAACUGAGUGUUGAGAAGAACUCUUCUGUAUUUCACCCUCUCUGGGAGAUGACAUGUAUCUCCACUACCUCAAGAACCCAUUGUUGCAUUUGCAAUGAUGUCUCUGCUGCAACAAACUUCAUCUUGAUGCUUGUAUCCUGGAAAAUUAGAAAUGCAAAGGGUCAAAGUGAAGUUAUGGGCCCUGUCCAUAAAAGUAUAAUCAAAGCAGCCAUAAAGGUGGUCUGGAUGGAGGAAUAUGGCUUUCAUGUGCGCAUAAUAACAGCCUGGAAACCAGGGAAGAUAAUGGUACUCUGA